UACGGAGGGGGCUAGCGUUGUUCGGAAUUACUGGGCGUAAAGCGCACGUAGGCGGCUUUGUAAGUUAGAGGUGAAAGCCCGGAGCUCAACUCCGGAAAUGCCAUUGAAACUGUAAGACUUGAGGAUGAGAGAGGUGAGUGGAAUUCCCAGUGUAGAGGUGAAAUUCGUAGAUAUUGGGAAGAACACCGGUGGCGAAGGCGGCUCACUGGCUCAUAUCUGACGCUCAGGCGCGACAGCGUGGGGAUCAAACAGG
rnacentral:rRNA from 1 species